GGAGUACGGCCGGCAAGGCUGAAACUUAAAGGAAUUGGCGGGGGAGCACCACAAGGCGUGAAGCUUGCGGUUCAAUUGGAGUCAACGCCGGGAACCUUACCGGGGGCGACAGCAGUAUGAUGACCAGAUUGAAGGUCUUGUUUGACAAGCUGAGAGGAGGUGCAUGGCCGUCGCCAGUUCGUGCCGUGAGGUGUCCUGUUAAGUCAGGCAACGAUCGAGACCCGCACCCUUAGUUGCUACCGAGGAAAUUUUCCAAGGGGCACUCUAGGGGGACUGCCGUCGACAAGACGGAGGAAGGAGCGGGCUACGGCAGGUCAGUAUGCCCCGAAUCCCCCGGGCUACACGCGAGCUGCAAUGGCAGGUACAAUGGGUUCCGACCCUGGAAAGGGAAGGCAAUCUCGAAACCCUGCCUCAGUUUGGAUCGAAGGCUGGAACCCGCCUUCGUGAAAAUGGAAUGCCUAGUAAUCGCGUGUCAUCAUCGCGCGGUGAAUACGUCCCCGCUCCUUGCACACACCGCCCGUCGCUCCAUCCGAG
rnacentral:rRNA from 1 species